rnacentral:piRNA from 1 species
UAAUGGAUUAAUAGAGUGAUGCCCGUGAC